rnacentral:rRNA from 1 species
CUAUGCGCCUUGCCAGCCCGCUCAGGUGUGCCAGCCGCCGCGGUAAUACGGAGGGGGCGAGCGUUGUUCGGAGUGACUGGGCGUAAAGAGCACGUAGGCGGUGUUGUAAGUCAUUAGUCAAAGACUAGAGCUCAACUUUAGUAAGGCUAGUGAUACUAUAAUACUAGGGUAUCAGAGAGGAUUGCAGAAUUCCUGGUGUAGCGGUGAAAUGCGUAGAUAUCAGGAGGAAUACCGUUAGCGAAGGCGGCAAUCUGGCUGGAAACUGACGCUGAGGUGCGAAAGCGUGGGUAGCAAACAGG